UUCCAGACUCCUACGGGAGGCAGCAGUGGGGAAUAUUGCACAAUGGGGGAAACCCUGAUGCAGCGACGCCGCGUGAGCGAAGAAGUAUUUCGGUAUGUAAAGCUCUAUCAGCAGGGAAGAAAAUGACGGUACCUGAGUAAGAAGCUCCGGCUAAAUACGUGCCAGCAGCCGCGGUAAUACGUAUGGAGCAAGCGUUAUCCGGAUUUACUGGGUGUAAAGGGAGCGCAGGCGGCACGGCAAGCCUGAUGUGAAAGCCCGCGGCCCAACCGCGGGACUGCAUUGGGAACUACCGGGCUGGAGUGCCGGAGAGGUAGGCGGAAUUCCUAGUGUAGCGGUGAAAUGCGUAGAUAUUAGGAGGAACACCAGUGGCGAAGGCGGCCUGCUGGACGAUGACUGACGUUGAGGCUCGAAAGCGUGGGGAGCAAACAGGAUUAGAUACCCUGGUAC
rnacentral:rRNA from 1 species